GACAUUUUUCAACGAUCAAUUCAGUGACGCUUCUGCACUCCCCCUUGAUUUCUCCAUCCUUCAUCAUUUCCAGGACCAUAGUUUGUUCCAGGGCUAUUUCUGUGACCUAUUUUUUCUCCCUGUUUCUUUUUUCUUGUGCUGGUUCUUAUAUGUGAGUCUUCUCCAGGAGCACAUCCACAUGUCUCCUUAAUCUACAUACUCUCCUUGAAUGUUCUCACCCACUUCCUGGUCUCAGCUACCACUGGAAUGCUGAAGGUAGGGGAAAUGGUGCCAUACCCUUGACACCGACUUGAGACAAAGAUCAUUAACAUACUUAGACUGCAGCUGCCCCAUAAGCAUCUCAAGUUGCAGUGUAUCAAGCUUAACACAUGCAACCUUUUACUGUACCACCCUCAACCCUGCCUGGCUUUAAACCACCUCUCCCUCCUCCUUUCCAUUAUUUCAAUUGAGGUGCUGUCAUCCACCCAGUUACUCAAACCUAGAACUUGAAAGUCAUGUUCUCCCUCUCCACCCUCCUAAUCCAUUCUAAAUCUAAGAGCUGUCAAUUCUACCUCCUUCAUCUUUUGAAUUUAGUCACUUCUGUCUACAGACCUAGGAAAACCUAAUGGAAGCCAACAACAUCUCUCAUCUCACUGACCAACAUAGUUUACUCCUUGUCCUCUUGCCUCCAGUUUGGCCCCUUCUACUGUUUGUUUUCUCCACUCCAGUCAUAAACUUUUUAAAGCUCAAAUGCAGGGAAUAACAUGCUCAGAUUUGAGCUUUUAAUCCCUCCUUUGACCUUCAUUGCUCUCAAAAUGAACUCUAACCUUUCAACAAGGCAUUCAAAGCUGUCUGGAAUCCUGGUUCUGUCUGCCUUUGAGCCCCAUUACCCAGCCUUGCUGCUCUCUAUUUGAAUGAAACUUCUUGUAGUUCCCUAAGCACACCAUGCCUCACUAAUUUUUUUCAGCAUUUAUUACUCGGCUUAAAAGUCACUUCCUUCAGGAUGACUUCUCUAAUCCCCCAGGCUAGGUUAGAUAUUUUACCUUAAUGCUCCUAUAUAUCUGUCACUUCAUCUUCAAUAUUGAUUUAUUGUUUGUUCCAUACGUAUCUUCCUCACUAGUUUGUAAGUUUUUGGUUUAGGGCAGGAACUAUUGAAUUCCCAGAUCUAGUAUACAGUAGGCCCUUAGUGAGUGUUUGUUGAAAGAAUAAGUGAUUAACUUUCUUAAGGUUAUAUUGCAAAUAAGUUCUGAAACUGGAAACAAAAUCUGCGGUACUCUAAAACCCAUGUUCUCCCACUAAUGUAUACAUCACACAGUAUAAAAAGAUACAGCACCCAGAAGAAUUGAAAGCAGGGUCUCAAAGAGAUGUUUCUAUACCCAUAUUCAUAACAGUGUAUUCAAUAGCUAAAAGGUGGAAGCAACGCAAAUGUCCACUGAUGGGUGAAUGAAUACAUAAGCAAACUGUGGUAUAUACAUACAAUGGAAUAUGAUUUAGCCUUAAAAAAGAAGGAAAUUCUGCAAUUUUCUACAAUAUGGGUGAACCUAGAUGACAUUAUGCUAAGUGAAGUAAGUCAGUUACAGAAAGACAAGUCAUUGCAUGAUUCUAUUUAUAUGAGAUACUUAGUGUAGUCAAAAUCAUAAAGGCAGAAAGUAUAGUGGUGGUGGCCAGGGGCUAAGGGGAAGGAAGAUACAGAGUUUCAGUUUUACAAGAUGAAAAGAUUUAUGGGGACAAAUGGUGGUGAUGGUUGCACAAUUUGAAUUAAUAUCACUGAACUGUACAUUUAAAAAUGAUCAAGAAGGUAAAUUUUAUGUUAUGUGUAUUUUACCACAAUAAAAAAUUUCCAAGGAAAGCCCCCAAACACACAAAAUAUAUUGCAAGGAGUCAGUCCCAUUUUUCUCCUACAUCUUCCCGAUUCCCUCUUUCUCUGCCCCAAGGUAACCAAUCUUAUUAGUUUCUGUAUCUCCUUCCAGGUUUUCUUUUUGCCAAUAGAAGCAAAUAUAAAGCUAUAUUCUUUACCUUCUGACCUUUUAAAAAUUUUAUAUUAGAAAAAAUUUUAACUACUUUUUCUGAAGUAUGUAGCACAAGGAGCUAAUAAGUACUCAGCUUGAAUGAACUCACAAGAUGGAGACUUGGAAGAGGAUAGCUAUUUGAUGAGAGGGUAAAAUAAUCUUGCUGGCUCACCACCAGUGGGGCCUCUAUGGAAGCUCCUCAGAGUUAUCUUUUCUCUGGAGCUCUCCUAGACCACUCCCUCUGAUGCAAUAUAUGGGUUUGGACAGAAAGGAGGGUGCUGCACAGCCCGCCCCUUCUGAGCUGUCUGGGCUGGCUCCUCCUAGAACAAUUCAGGCUUCACAGCAAUUCAGACCUCAGCUCCAACAUCUACAUUCUGAAGCAAGGAUGGCUGAGAUGGACAGAAUGCUUCAUUCUGGAAAGAAAUGGUGUUCCAGGUCGAGCUGAGUUGGCCAAAUACAGACCCCCUCUACGGUUCUAGAAGAAAUUUUGGCAAGUCUUAUCAUGUGGUUUUUCUACACCUUGAUUCCAUGUUUGCUCAUUGAUGGAGUGGCCAUCCUGCCUGCCCCUCAGAACCUCUCUGUACAAUCAACCAACAUGAAGCAUCUCUUGACGUGGAGCCCAGUGAUGGUGCCUGGAGAAAUAAUAUACUAUUUCGUUGAGUACCAGGGAGAGUAUGAGAGCCUGUACAUGAGCCACGUCUGGAUCCCCAGCAGCUGGUGCUCACCCACCAAAGGUCCUGAGUGUGACAUCACUGAUGACAUCACUGCCACUGUGCCGUACAAUCUCCGUGUCAGGGCCACCCAGGGUUCAGAGACCUCAGCCUGGAGCACUCUGAAGCCUCCCUUCAAUCGAAAUUCAACCAUUCUUACCCCACCUGGGAUGGAUGUCACCAAGGACGGCUUCCAUCUGGUUAUUAAGCUGGAAGACCUGGGGUCCCAGUUUGAGUUCCUUGUGGCUUACUGGAGGAGGGAGCCUGGUGCCAAGGAACAUGUCAAAGUGGUGAGGAGCAGGGGCAUUCCGGUGCACCUGGAAACCAUGGAACCGGGGGCUGCAUACUGUGUGAAGGUCCAGACAUUCGUGAAGGCCAUCGGGAGACACAGCCCUUUCAGCCAGGCAGAAUGUGUCAAGGUGCAAGGAGAGACCCUCCCCCUGGCGCUGGCCCUGUUUGGGUUUGUUGGCUUUAUGCUGAUCCUCGUGGUUGUGCCCCUUUCCAUCUGGAAAAUGGGCCGGCUGCUCCGGCACUCCUGUUGCCCCGUGGUGGUGCUUCCCGACACCUUGAUUCUGGAGUUGUAUGUCACCACCACCCUCUCUCCUACCACAGCCUUGACUUUAGUACAGCCUAGCUGUACUUCAACAUUUGCCUUAGUGAUAAUCUUCUAAAGUACUAAAAAGCAACUUCCAGCCAUCUUUGCAAAACCCACACAUCUUUCUAAUCAAACUUUGGAAAAUUACCAAGUGGAAAUCCUUGACAGUUCUUCAAAAAGCCCUAUGGAGUUUAAAAUAACCAAUUCACCCCAGAAGUUAAUCAGCUGCAGGAGGGAAGAGGUGGAAGCCUGUGCCACUGCUAUGCUGUCUUCGGAGGAGCCCUUCAGGACCUGGAUCUAGGCAGGCUUUGGAAGGGCCCAGUUGAAACUGAGAAGCUGGUUGGCAUGGCACAGAAAUAAGGAAGGGAAAGGCUGUGGAUCAGUUUUCCUCCAUGGACAAAGGACAAGAAAAGCAAGAAGAGCCUGCUGGGUCCAUGUCUAGAAGCGACUGUCAGAAGCAGAGUGGUUUGGCAGACAGAGCACUGAGUUGGGGUGAGAAGACGUAGCCUCUUAGAACUGGAUCUGUCUGCCAUUCACUGACCGAAUGACCUGGAGAAAGUGACUUGAAAUGGGGGAAUUCACUAUACAACCGUUAAACCACUAUAUAUAUAUGUAUAUGUAUAUCCAGCACUUGCAGAGCUUUGGGAAACUGGCAACACUGUACAUUGUGAUUGUUUCACCUUCUCUGCAGAAUAUAACAAGAGUGUAACAAGAAUGAUAAAAACUCUUCACACCGGCUGGCUUGGAGAUCCCACUUUCCUAGAGGAAACCUUGAAGAGGAAAGGAAGGAUGGGCACAACAGUGUUGACUUCGCUUCCAGCCAAAUGCCUGUGCGGAGGUGAAUGGCUCAGCCAGCUCUACAAUACAUGACCUAGAGGGAGGCCCCAGGCCCAUGGAAAAUGGGAUGCUGUGGAUUCAUGAGAUACUGUAAAGAGUAAAUAAUGUGUGCAUACUAAAGGCAGGUAAAAUGUACAUGUAUGAGGAGAGGAGAAUGCAGGAGGAUGUCAAUAAUGUGUGAUGUUUGCUGUGUUCCCUUUACCUGUAGAGUUGUUAAAGUAUAGAAUUAAAAAUAAAAAAGGGUUACCUUCGUAAUCUUUUUGGCUUCUUACAAAAAAGUGGUCUUUGGGGUUCUAGUUACAUUAUCGACCUUGUGUCCAGAGAGGCUCCUGAAGACCACCGUUGGUCAGGAGUUGUGGGGGUGACCUCAGGUAGGGGAUGGGACAGGGAAGGAGAGCAGGCAGCUUCUGGCUUCAUGAGAACCCUGACUGACGCAGCCGGCCACAGCUUUACCUGGUCAGGGUGAUCCUGGAUCUUCCUGGAGGCCUUGCUCUACAGGAAAUCCCUUUGGGUACCUCUCCUGCCUAAGACAGCUUCACUCAAGGUAUCCUCAGCCCCUUCCAGCAUGUUCAUCCAUGACUCACCUCUGGAAGCCUCUUCCUGCCCUUCUCCCUACCAGGCGAGGAAAAGAGUCAGGGUUAGAGAAGGAAUAAAGAGGGAAGUUUCUUGAGAAGUAAAAGGUUUGAUGGGCAAGACCCAUGCCUCCCUUCUUAGGCCCCACCCCCUCCCAGCUUUGGAGCCUCAGAGCUGGUUUGUCUCCAUGCCAAAUUCUUGGGCGCCUUCCAGCCAGCCCAGAGGUGGGGACAAUCUAACUGUUUCAACCAGAUAAUUUCCCCUACAAGAUAGAGGUCUACAACCCCCUCUCCACCCGGUGGGGUCUCAAGUAGCCAGAGGUGGACUCUCCAGAAAGAUGACAUUACAGAAGAUCUUUUCCUUUGUACCAUUUAUAUGCUUCUGUGUUGUUUGACUCUUUCAUGAAGAGUAUGUGUUGAUUUUAUAUUUAGCCUAAAUUGGAGACAUAUUUUCAGUUUGUAAAAAUAAAGGCCAUCUUACUCUACUGGUCAUCACUCUCCCUCCUCCUGCUUCCACCCUGGGGCUGCUGUCCCUCUGUCACCUGUCCAGGACUAGAAUCCAGAAAUCACCUAAGAUUUCCCUCUGCUUGAGUCCCUCUCACAAUUUGUCCCAGUGCGUAUCCAUUCCUGCUGGCACGUAUAUGUAUAGAGAAUUUUCUCCCGAUUAUUGUUGUCUUUCCAGUUCCCAAACAUGCACCCCCUGAGGUCAUUGCAAUCAUGCACUAGACAUUGAGCUAGUCCCUAAUAGGAGAGGGCUUGCCUCCUCUGUAGCUGGUCAUUCCCUCUCCCCUGGAGUGCUUAUAUCCUGACUCCUGAGGCCUCCUCUCCUCC